GGUAAGGUAGCUUAGUGUUAAGCGUUGGGCUGUAGACCCAUUUAACGGAGGUUUAAUUCCUCUUCUUAUCA
rnacentral:tRNA from 1 species